CCUACCACAUUCAAGGAAAGGCAGCAGGGCGCGCAAAUUUCCCAAUCCCGACACGGGGAGGUAGUGACAAUAAAUACUGAUACAGGGCUCUUUUGGGUCUUGUAAUUGGAAUGAGUACAAUUUAAAUCCCUUAACGAGGAACAAUUGGAGGGCAAGUCUGGUGCCAGCAGCCGCGGUAAUUCCAGCUCCAAUAGCGUAUAUUAAAGUUGUUGCAGUUAAAAAGCUCGUAGUUGAACCUUGGGCCUGGCUGGCCGGUCCGCCUCACCGCGUGUACUGGUCCGGCCGGGCCUUUCCUUCUGGGGAACCUCAUGCCCUUCACUGGGCGUGUUGGGGAACCAGGACUUUUACUUUGAAAAAAUUAGAGUGUUCAAAGCAGGCCUUUGCUCGAAUACAUUAGCAUGGAAUAAUAGAAUAGGACGUGUGGUUCUAUUUUGUUGGUUUCUAGGACCGCCGUAAUGAUUAACAGGGAUAGUCGGGGGCAUCAGUAUUCAAUCGUCAGAGGUGAAAUUCUUGGAUUGAUUGAAGACUAACUACUGCGAAAGCAUUUGCCAAGGAUGUUUUCAUUAAUCAGUGAACGAAAGUUAGGGGAUCGAAGACGAUCAGAUACCGUCGUAGUCUUAACCAUAAACUAUGCCGACUAGGGAUCGGACGGUGUUAGUAUUUUGACCCGUUCGGCACCUUACGAGAAAUCAAAGUUUUGGGUUCUGGGGAGAUUGUGGCCU
rnacentral:rRNA from 1 species